UUUAGGCUAAAUUAUUUUGAGAGGAUAUCUCGCGUGGCGCUCCUUCUGGUGUACGCAGUUAUUAGCAGUGAAUUCCUAUUUUCACGGGAUCAGACAGACAAGAAAACGGAUACUUUUAAACUAAUGAACAUUUAACCUCGCCCAAUUUCCACACAAAUAGCGGAGAAUGGGCUCAUUUCUCACUUUUCCGCUGAUGACAGCGCCUGACUGUUACGAGCUUCCCUCCUAUGAAGAGUCGUCUGAGGACGGUACUCCCACGUACUCCGAAGAGAACCGCAGGGGGCGAGGCCGUGCUUUGUGUCACCCCUCCCUUCAGGAAGAGCCGGGACAGAGAGUGGGAGAGCAGCUGAAACCUCUUUCUAUCCCCCCUUCUGGGGGGAGAACAAAACAACCCUGCAGUGAUCUGUCUCUCUCUCCUUCUUUCUCCUUUUCCUUCUCAUUGAUUCCGUAGGAGCCUCCAUGCAACGGGAGAUCAGACCAGAGUGCGGAUUGGAAGUCAGGCGCUGAAAGGGGAUCGGCGGGCAUCCUGGGAACCGAGCGAGUGGUGGAGCCAGAGGGGUCAGCGGGUGACCUCGCGGUGCGGCUGGGCAGGCCGUUGACAGUCGGACGAGACCAAGACCACCAACAGAUGCGGAGCUGCCUGGUGUGAUGGGACUGUAAUGCCUUCACCAUUCAACUGCUUACUUUUGAGGUGCUGCGCUCUUACAACUAGAUCCGCAGCCAUUGUGCCACAUCUGAAGCCUGCUUUACUGCUGAGGGGUUGUGGCUGGCACUAGGCUGUUAUUUAAAUCUCUUAAGAAGUAAAGAAUUAGUAAAUAGCAGCCGCACUACAGCAAACCUUGAAACCCCGUGGGUCACCGUCCACACCAUUGUGGGAUGUUUGCCAGUGGACGUCUGGAGAAAUAAAGAACUGGUAGUUUCCUUCGUUUAAAAAGCUAUCACACUUUGGGAUCGUUGAUUUUGUGGAAGCUUGUUAACGUCUGUGGGGUUCGAAAGCCCUCCAGUGCUAUAAAGCCAAUGAAAAUUGGUGGACAUGUGGGACGGAGUCUUCACAACAGAUGCCCUGUUCAGCAGUACUUUGGGACUUUGUGUCAAUGCAUUUACAUAAAAACAGCCCAAACUCAAGUCGAGUGUAAGAUACAUUGAUUGUUGGGUAUCUGAUGGCGUAGUUGGGAAAACAUGAGGGACUGCAGGUGAUUAGGAGCUCUUACGCUAUCCAUUGAUUUCUUUUCUGAGAGGGGAAAGAGCGGUUGAGAUGGUAGAGAAGGCUGAUAGCUUUGUGUUUGAUUUGCAGUCUGGAAUCCAUUCACACACUCGAGGGAAGGGAACGGUACUCUAUCUCGAACAAAAAGGUUUUGGGAGAAUUGUGCAUAGAGGGAGAGAAUAGGAGAUGUGAUUCAUUCCUCAUUUUUAUUAGAAAGAGGAAGAACGUUCUAUGUGAAAUGAUCAGCAAGGUCUUUUGGGUAGAAAGACGGGCGGAUUCAAACAAAGAAUCUUCUCUCUUGAUUUGGCUCCUUUGAAUUGCUAUAGAAACAUCUAGUAACCAUACAUCUUUAUGAAAGAUUGAAAACCAAUCAGUCUCUUAUUUUAUUACACUAGGUCACAUCUCAAUCGUGUGAGCUGAGAGUGAAAUAAAUGCCCAUGUUGUAUUUUACGGCUCGUGUGAAGAUUUGUAGCCACUUGGAGAAAAACUGCCAAAAUCUCUCUUCUUCAGUUUCUUUGUUCCUUUAUCACAACCACCCACGCACUUCACCAGACUGCUGAGCCCGUCCUUUUAAUUUGGCCCGUCUGCAUUCGUAUUUUAUACAUCCUCAACUACAUUUUAACAAUCCGUCACUCAUUAGGUGUUUGCAUAUGUACAAGAUGUGCACAUUAGUGCAGAGUGUCGUCUGAUAUGUGUAUACAUUGUCUGGAAGAUUCCAAGAGGCCGUACCAGAGACAGGGUGUACAGAGAGUAGAUGGCGUCCCGUUCGAAGUCGCCAAUUACUGACCGCAGUGUCCCUUGGGGGUGCAGGGUGCACUCUGUGUUGAGGCCUGUGUUAGCAUCGCACAAUACAGAUGUGUGGGCAGAUGCCAUCUGGGGCUCGGAGAACAAAACAAAAUGUGGGGGCGCCGUUCAGGGAAUUCAGUCGGGAGACCUGAGAAUCCAGGAAGAGAAUGGAAAAUGAUCUGACGGUAAUCAAUCAAAAAAAAGUGACACAAAUGACCAAACACAACGGCCUCGAACAACACACCCCUCUUUCAGCGCCGCCUGUGGCGAUUCUCCGCCCACCGGCUAUAACGCGAUCAAUAGGCCUUCGUCGAUGAGCAGAAGCGAUUGGUCGGUAACGCUAAAAGCGAGCCGCCUCCUCGCCAGCUAAUUGGGCCUUUAUGAUUGCGCAGUCUUUCGUGCACAUCGAGAAAAUAAAACGCCAUUCUCUUCGUCAAACUGAGUGACAAUCGAUGUUGGGCAACGCCAGAUGCUCCGCCCGAAGUCAUUAUGUUGGGCGAAAUCGUUUCUCCGGAGCAACCGCAUCGCCACAAAGCGUCUCGAUCGUGGCCCUAGAGACGAAGUCUUGAAUGUCACCUGCUCCUCAGUCUAAUGCUAUUAAAUUCGAGAGGCCCCAAACGCAUAUGGAACAGAACAAAAACGUAGCUCUUCUGACCUAUACAUAAACAGGAAGUGCUAGACAUGGUCAGACGAAACUUGAAUGUUAAAGUCUGAGAAGACUGUGGCCUGAUACUCAACUAAGGCGAGGGGAAAUUAUACUACAGCCAAACAACAGACUUUGAGUGGUGGAAAAGCAUCGAAACUUUACAUUUAAGCUACUGAGACCAUCACAUCAGUGGUUUUAAUCAUUAAAAAGACAAUGCAGCAUUUCCUCAUUUAUAAUAAAUGUAAUGUGUUUUUCUACUUUUGUUGGUCACUUCAGUUAAAAGUGUGUGUCUUAGUUAAAUAAACAUGUCAAAUUGAUAUCCGUUGUCCUUUUCAUUUCAGAAGUGCUCAACACUGCAAUGUACACACGAGGACACAGACACAUUUAUAUUGUAGGAGAACUGAAGA